rnacentral:lncRNA from 1 species
AUUUUCAAAAAUCUUCACCUCACUGAGCGGGGAGGAGCUUGGAACGGCCGAUGUGACAUCGUCUCUUUUAACCCCUGAAGCUCCCGCAGCAGUGGGAAGUUCCUCAAAUUCCUCCCACAGAAUUUCACCGCUUCCCGGACACUUAGCCGCCCGCGUUGCUGUUUGAGUGUUCAAGGGACGACCCACGCCCUUCCACACCCUGGGUCGCCUUCUGACGCUUUCCUUUCCACCUCCAAAGCAAAACAGAAAUCCCCUUUCUCUGUCUCCUGAACAGCUGGGACUCCCCCUCCUCUGCCUUGCCCUCCCCACUGGGCCUCCUUAGAGUCACCAGGAAGGAAUCUCUUCCCUGAAGUCAAGCUGUGUGCUGAGCUGGUCACAGUGGCCGGGGCCUUCCAUGAGUUUAU